CAACAGGGAUUGCCCUAGUAACGGCGAGUGAAGCGGCAACAGCUCAAAUUUGAAAUCUGGCUCUCGGGCCCGAGUUGUAAUUUGUAGAGGAUACUUUUGAUGCGGUGCCUUCCGAGUUCCCUGGAACGGGACGCCAUAGAGGGUGAGAGCCCCGUCUGGUUGGAUGCCAAAUCUCUGUAAAGUUCCUUCGACGAGUCGAGUAGUUUGGGAAUGCUGCUCUAAAUGGGAGGUAUAUGUCUUCUAAAGCUAAAUACCGGCCAGAGACCGAUAGCGCACAAGUAGAGUGAUCGAAAGAUGAAAAGCACUUUGAAAAGAGAGUUAAAAAGUACGUGAAAUUGUUGAAAGGGAAGCGUUUAUGACCAGACUUGGGCUUGGUUGAUCAUCUGGGGUUCUCCCCAGUGCACUCUUCCAGUCCAGGCCAGCAUCAGUUUUCGCCGGGGGAUAAAGACUUCGGGAAUGUGGCUCUCUUCGGGGAGUGUUAUAGCCCGUUGUGUAAUACCCUGGCGGGGACUGAGGUUCGCGCAUCUGCAAGGAU
rnacentral:rRNA from 3 species